CCGUCCGCCUGCACGACCUCCUCCUCCUCCCGCACAACCUCCUCCCCCUCCCGCGCCCUUCGCCGCAGCCUCGCGCUGAGCCACGGGAAGCCGCGCCCUUCACCGCCACCUUGCGCCGCCGGAGCCACAGGAAGCCGCGCAGUUCACCGCCGCCUCGCGGCGCCGGAGCCACGGGAGCCGCCCCGCCACGGGUCGCCGCCUCCGGAGCCGCAGCUUGUCCCCCGCCGCGCCGCCACUCCGCCUCCGUCGACCUAGCAAUUAGCCGCCGUUAGCCGCCGGAGCUGCCGGAGCUGCCGUAGCCGCCCGCCGCGCCCUUCGCCGCUGGAGCGGCCGCCGUAGCCGCCCGCCCGCCUGCCGCACCGGUCACCUCCAUCGUCACCGCGAGUCACCUCCUCUUCCGCCGCCAGGAAUCCCGUCACCGGCAAGGUAACUACACCCGUUCCUCCCGCCCUGCUUGCUGCGAAUGUGUGAUGUGUUAGUGCUUGAUGCUGCGUGCUUGCCAGCUUGUCGCUGAUGGUCUGCUGCUGCUGCUGCUUUCCUGUAUAUGAUUUUUUAGUCUGACUGUUAGACUAUGAUCCAUGCUCUUAAGGGAAGGGAUUAAUAUGCUGCUGAACUGGGGGUCCUCUGCCGCGAAGAAGGUUUGGUGUUGGGGCUGAUGUUCCCCUUAGAGUCUGGGCAUUUCAAGCCCCUUACAUUGUUUCAAUUUUGAUGAGAAGCGAUUUACCUGUGCACAAGUUUCAGUGAAAUAUUUUUUUUCGUUCAAAAAAAAACUUGCUGCAUUAAUUUGUUUUAUCUGCUGAGCAGGUGACGGCGCAUGGGGACGAGCUUCCUGGACAAGAAGAUCUGUGUAUUCUUCUUGAUGGUGCAAAGUUGAGGAUUUAUUAGUUAAUAAAAGUUCAAGGAUUGUUGGAGAACAUGGAGCCUUGGGUAGCUGAAGUAGAUCCUUCCUUAAGGGUCAGAUGCCUUCUGGUUCAUACGAAAAUCAUGAAGCAAAACAGCAGAAGAAUAUAAGGUGUUUAACACAAUGGCAGUCAAAUUUUUAAGGCAUGAAGACUGCGGCAAUGCGAUGGCUAUGCUGAUUAAGUCUAAUAAGUGGGCUGGCCAUCACAAAGUCAUGUUUAACUAUCAAUAUGUGAACACAACAUGUGAUUAUAUGGAGUUUGUGAGGAAAAAUGAUAAGUUAAGAAGCUAGCUGGGUGAUUGUCCACUGACGUUUUUUCGGAUAAGAAUUGUCCACUGACGUUUGCAUGGUAUGUAAACUGCCUGUAUCUUUUACUGAUAGAUCACUAAUGUAUACAUUUUAUGCAUUGAAUAUCACUGAGCAUCAUCUUCUGACUGAUAUGGACAAUCUCUUGCAUUAUCUUGAGGCGACUGGGCAUAUAUGGACUUAGCCUAGAAGCGGGACCUACAGGCUUCCAUAAUUCCAGAGAGGUAAUUACCCGCCGUCUCAACUAUAUUCCAGAGAGGUAAUUGCCCUGGAUUUUCUCUUUAAUUAUACCAUAUUGUUUAAAUUUUGUAGUUGUCAUUUGUGCAUGAAUUGGUUACAUGUCUGCAAAGCUAACCAAAUAAGAAUGAGAUGAAUUGCAUGUCUGCAAAACUAACCAAAUAUGAAUGAGAUGAAUUUCCUCUUUGCAGAAUCCACAUAGUACAUAUUAUAUGCAAAAGAAAUAUGUUUAUACAGGACAUUUUUCUCUCUCAGGGUUAUACGUGCGUUGCACGUCCACGCCCACAUCCUCGACGGGUAGAAAAUUAGCGCAAGGAUCAAAUCCCCGACCUGUUUUUCUUUCUUUCGGUCUUUGUCCUAAACUGAAUCCUAUCUUGUUCGCUGCAACAGCAAGAUCUAGCUACCGUUGGGGAUAUAGAGGACCAGGAUGGACAACACGUUGCCAUUGAGUUUGCCGAGCUCGCCAGGACAGACCAUGAGCUGGUGACCUCCGCCGCCGAGGGCACCAUCUAUCUCCAGAGCCCCAUUGAUGUCAUGACCCUCGCCGCUUCCACCGCCACCAUCAUAUAGGAGCGGUGUCACCCUUCGAGCAGAGCUAAAAAGAGUGAUACUAUUCUUUGGUCAGGUUAUGCUGCAGAUUAUUAUUUAGAGGAAAAACAUUUAUGGAGCCCGAUGUCUUUUAUGUUUUUUUCCUGAAUUUGCAGCCGCUAAGUUUCUGAAGCAUGACCGACAUCUUUUUAAGCAAUAGUGGUAAUCACGAGUGGCCUGAUACCGAUAUGCACCUUGCAGCCGCUAUUGCUUUCUAUCUGAUUUCGCUCAAAUUGAGCAGUUUGGCGGUGGGUGUUGGGUAGUAGUUUUGAUCAAUUCAGGAUAUUGUGUGAAAUAAUCCUAUUGGAUUGCUCUCCAAUUUUAUGUUGUGGAUUAAAAAAUAAGUAGCAAUUGUUUACAAGUCCCCGCUAAAACAAGUAAACCUGCUGUUGUCAAAAUUUCAAACCAACUAAGCAAGCAGAGAGCAAUGAUUGCAUAGCAAUCAGGGCCUGCCUCGAUCGUUUGACAUAUGACAUGACAUAGACAUCAUUUACAAGUCCAAGAAAGCUCUACAAAAACCAGUUACCCAAACUUACCCUGAGUUUGUUAAUUAAUAGUUUAAUACUAGGAUUCUUAUGCAUGUCUACUGUUGUUUAGGAAGCUCAGGACAUGGUGGUUCCGUUUUGGACGAAAAAGAAAAAAUAGUACCAACGUGUUAACCUAAUGCUUAGCUGAUUAACUGAAGAUCAAAAUUUAUUUAUCCCUGUUUGCGCAGUAUGCAAGUAUUCAUGGUUAUUGGUCAGUGACCUGGGCAUAUGUAAAUUUUAUGCAUUCUGAAUUUUUAGCCCUUACGUUCUUGUACGUUAUUCUUUAUUCAUGCAUAUAACUUGCUUGUACUUCGAUUGCUCUACAUUUUUCUUUUUCAUCACAUAUUUGACACUUUGUAGAAUCUGUGUGUACCUCUAAAUCUCCAAAAUUGCAGAGGAUUGCUACAUUAUUUCAUUAGUCCAUUUUAGAGCAUGUCAAAUGGAGCAACUUAUUUAGUGGUAAAAUCUUCCCUCCAAAGUCUGCUGCUGGCCACGCUCCUUCGACAGUCGGUACAUAUUUUCUCUUGGGUAAUUUGCUUCACCUAAUCUUUAGUACCACUUCUAUCAUGUAUUGUGAUUCACCUUUAAUGUCAGUAUUUUGUGCAUGGCCCCUUGAGCUCAUGUCUUCUAUUGCGGUCUUCAAACUAUCAUUUUCGGUCAGCUCAUAUCACUCUAUCCAUGCUAUCAAUUUUUCUUGCUCACUAAAUGGUAGUCUGACCUUGACCUGUUUGUGUCAUCAAAGAAGGGAAUUUUCCUUUUUUUUUUUACUUUUCUCUUGUGUUUGUAAAAUAUAUUAUUUUUUGUUGUAUAUUAUAGAAGGAUUGGGCAUGGAGGUUUCAGAUCCGCAUGUGAGUGUUUGUGUAUAUAUUGUACCUCUAUAUAUCUUUCCAAAUUCCAACUUUUGGCAUUACCAUAUUUUUAAAGAAUGGUUGUUUAGUGA